AUGCAAGUCGAACGGUAACAGGAAGAAGCUUGCUUCUUUGCUGACGAGUGGCGGACGGGUGAGUAAUGUCUGGGAAACUGCCUGAUGGAGGGGGAUAACUACUGGAAACGGUAGCUAAUACCGCAUAACGUCGCAAAACCAAAGAGGGGGACCUUCGGGCCUCUUGCCAUCGGAUGUGCCCAGAUGGGAUUAGCUAGUAGGUGGGGUAACGGCUCACCUAGGCGACGAUCCCUAGCUGGUCUGAGAGGAUGACCAGCCACACUGGAACUGAGACACGGUCCAGACUCCUACGGGAGGCAGCAGUGGGGAAUAUUGCACAAUGGGCGCAAGCCUGAUGCAGCCAUGCCGCGUGUACGAAGAAGACCUUCGGGUUGUAAAGUACUUUCAGCGGGGAGGAAGGGAGUAAAGUUAAUACCUUUGCUCAUUGACGUUACCCGCAGAAGAAGCACCGGCUAACUCCGUGCCAGCAGCCGCGGUAAUACGGAGGGUGCAAGCGUUAAUCGGAAUUACUGGGCGUAAAGCGCACGCAGGCGGUUUGUUAAGUCAGAUGUGAAAUCCCCGGGCUCAACCUGGGAACUGCAUCUGAUACUGGCAAGCUUGAGUC
rnacentral:rRNA from 1 species